GGGUUGUGAGGUUAAGCGACUAAGCGUACACGGUGGAUGCCCUGGCAGUCAGAGGCGAUGAAGGACGUGCUAAUCUGCGAUAAGCGUCGGUGAGGUGAUAUGAACCGUUAUAACCGGCGAUUUCCGAAUGGGGAAACCCAGUGUGUUUCGACACACUAUCAUUAACUGAAUCCAUAGGUUAAUGAGGCGAACCGGGGGAACUGAAACAUCUAAGUACCCCGAGGAAAAGAAAUCAACCGAGAUUCCCCCAGUAGCGGCGAGCGAACGGGGAGGAGCCCAGAGCCUGAAUCAGUGUGUGUGUUAGUGGAAGCGUCUGGAAAGGCGUGCGAUACAGGGUGACAGCCCCGUACACAAAAAUGCACAUAUUGUGAGCUCGAUGAGUAGGGCGGGACACGUGGUAUCCUGUCUGAAUAUGGGGGGACCAUCCUCCAAGGCUAAAUACUCCUGACUGACCGAUAGUGAACCAGUACCGUGAGGGAAAGGCGAAAAGAACCCCGGCGAGGGGAGUGAAAAAGAACCUGAAACCGUGUACGUACAAGCAGUGGGAGCCUCUUAAUGGGGUGACUGCGUACCUUUUGUAUAAUGGGUCAGCGACUUAUAUUCUGUAGCAAGGUUAACCGAAUAGGGGAGCCGAAGGGAAACCGAGUCUUAACUGGGCGUUAAGUUGCAGGGUAUAGACCCGAAACCCGGUGAUCUAGCCAUGGGCAGGUUGAAGGUUGGGUAACACUAACUGGAGGACCGAACCGACUAAUGUUGAAAAAUUAGCGGAUGACUUGUGGCUGGGGGUGAAAGGCCAAUCAAACCGGGAGAUAGCUGGUUCUCCCCGAAAGCUAUUUAGGUAGCGCCUCGUGAAUUCAUCUCCGGGGGUAGAGCACUGUUUCGGCAAGGGGGUCAUCCCGACUUACCAACCCGAUGCAAACUGCGAAUACCGGAGAAUGUUAUCACGGGAGACACACGGCGGGUGCUAACGUCCGUCGUGAAGAGGGAAACAACCCAGACCGCCAGCUAAGGUCCCAAAGUCAUGGUUAAGUGGGAAACGAUGUGGGAAGGCCCAGACAGCCAGGAUGUUGGCUUAGAAGCAGCCAUCAUUUAAAGAAAGCGUAAUAGCUCACUGGUCGAGUCGGCCUGCGCGGAAGAUGUAACGGGGCUAAACCAUGCACCGAAGCUGCGGCAGCGACACUAUGUGUUGUUGGGUAGGGGAGCGUUCUGUAAGCCUGUGAAGGUGGCCUGUGAGGGUUGCUGGAGGUAUCAGAAGUGCGAAUGCUGACAUAAGUAACGAUAAAGCGGGUGAAAAGCCCGCUCGCCGGAAGACCAAGGGUUCCUGUCCAACGUUAAUCGGGGCAGGGUGAGUCGACCCCUAAGGCGAGGCCGAAAGGCGUAGUCGAUGGGAAACAGGUUAAUAUUCCUGUACUUGGUGUUACUGCGAAGGGGGGACGGAGAAGGCUAUGUUGGCCGGGCGACGGUUGUCCCGGUUUAAGCGUGUAGGCUGGUUUUCCAGGCAAAUCCGGAAAACCAAGGCUGAGGCGUGAUGACGAGGCACUACGGUGCUGAAGCGACAAAUGCCCUGCUUCCAGGAAAAGCCUCUAAGCAUCAGGUAACAUCAAAUCGUACCCCAAACCGACACAGGUGGUCAGGUAGAGAAUACCAAGGCGCUUGAGAGAACUCGGGUGAAGGAACUAGGCAAAAUGGUGCCGUAACUUCGGGAGAAGGCACGCUGAUAUGUAGGUGAAGCGACUUGCUCGUGGAGCUGAAAUCAGUCGAAGAUACCAGCUGGCUGCAACUGUUUAUUAAAAACACAGCACUGUGCAAACACGAAAGUGGACGUAUACGGUGUGACGCCUGCCCGGUGCCGGAAGGUUAAUUGAUGGGGUUAGCGGUAACGCGAAGCUCUUGAUCGAAGCCCCGGUAAACGGCGGCCGUAACUAUAACGGUCCUAAGGUAGCGAAAUUCCUUGUCGGGUAAGUUCCGACCUGCACGAAUGGCGUAAUGAUGGCCAGGCUGUCUCCACCCGAGACUCAGUGAAAUUGAACUCGCUGUGAAGAUGCAGUGUACCCGCGGCAAGACGGAAAGACCCCGUGAACCUUUACUAUAGCUUGACACUGAACAUUGAGCCUUGAUGUGUAGGAUAGGUGGGAGGCUUUGAAGUGUGGACGCCAGUCUGCAUGGAGCCGACCUUGAAAUACCACCCUUUAAUGUUUGAUGUUCUAACGUUGGCCCGUAAUCCGGGUUGCGGACAGUGUCUGGUGGGUAGUUUGACUGGGGCGGUCUCCUCCUAAAGAGUAACGGAGGAGCACGAAGGUUGGCUAAUCCUGGUCGGACAUCAGGAGGUUAGUGCAAUGGCAUAAGCCAGCUUGACUGCGAGCGUGACGGCGCGAGCAGGUGCGAAAGCAGGUCAUAGUGAUCCGGUGGUUCUGAAUGGAAGGGCCAUCGCUCAACGGAUAAAAGGUACUCCGGGGAUAACAGGCUGAUACCGCCCAAGAGUUCAUAUCGACGGCGGUGUUUGGCACCUCGAUGUCGGCUCAUCACAUCCUGGGGCUGAAGUAGGUCCCAAGGGUAUGGCUGUUCGCCAUUUAAAGUGGUACGCGAGCUGGGUUUAGAACGUCGUGAGACAGUUCGGUCCCUAUCUGCCGUGGGCGCUGGAGAACUGAGGGGGGCUGCUCCUAGUACGAGAGGACCGGAGUGGACGCAUCACUGGUGUUCGGGUUGUCAUGCCAAUGGCACUGCCCGGUAGCUAAAUGCGGAAGAGAUAAGUGCUGAAAGCAUCUAAGCACGAAACUUGCCCCGAGAUG
rnacentral:rRNA from 3 species